AGGUCUGUUCCAACUUCCAGUGUGUAACCACUGGAACUGCUUAUGGCUCAACUGGGUGUGACAGCAAAUGUCCAAAAAAUGCGGUUUGUGACCAUGAACUUAAUUGUCAGUGUCUGAAAGGAUGGGCCCCACCCAACUGUGAUGUAGCUGUGGCAAGUAAUGCUAUCAGUACAAGUGACGCACCCCAGGAGGUCGUGCCUACAGAAUAUUUCACCAUCACAGACAUCGUCUAGAACGGAGUCUUGAAAUGAAGCUACCCCUGAUAGAGUUAAAUGGUUAUAUAAGCAA